rnacentral:misc_RNA from 1 species
GAUGAAGAACGCAGCGAAAUGCGAUAAGUAAUGUGAAUUGCAGAAUUCAGUGAAUCAUCGAAUCUUUGAACGCACAUUGCGCCCCUCGGCACUCCGGGGGGCAUGCCUGUCCGAGCGUCAUUGCACCCCUCGAGCCCCCCGUGGCUUGGUCGUGAGCCGCGCCCGCGCCAGCCCCGUCCCCCCCCGUGCGGCGGGGGGCAGGGGCGCCGGGCGGGCUCGAAACGCAGUGGCGGCCCCCGGGCGACUUCCAGCGCGAUGACAUGUUUCGCUGCCGAAGCCUUCGCCCCGGGCGCCCGCCAGGCAACCCCCGUGCUUCUUACGCGGUUGACCUCGGAUCAGGCAGGGAUACCCGCUGAACUUAAGCAUAUCAAUAAGCGGAGGA